UACAGAGGGGGCAAGCGUUGUUCGGAAUUAUUGGGCGUAAAGGGCGCGUAGGCGGCCUGCUAAGUCGAACGUGAAAUCCCUGGGCUCAACCCAGGAACUGCGUCCGAUACUGGUUGGCUUGAAUCCGGGAGAGGGAUGUGGAAUUCCAGGUGUAGCGGUGAAAUGCGUAGAUAUCUGGAGGAACACCGGUGGCGAAGGCGACAUCCUGGACCGGCAUUGACGCUGAGGCGCGAAAGCCAGGGGAGCAAACGGG
rnacentral:rRNA from 1 species